UCAGGACGAACGCUGGCGGCGUGCUUAACACAUGCAAGUCGAGCGGAAAGGCCCUUCGGGGUACUCGAGCGGCGAACGGGUGAGUAACACGUGAGUAACCUGCCCCUGGCUUUGGGAUAACCAUCGGAAACGGUGGCUAAUACCGAAUAUUCACUUCUGGUCGCAUGGCUGGUGGUGGAAAGUUUUUCGGCUGGGGAUGGGCUCGCGGCCUAUCAGCUUGUUGGUGGGGUGAUGGCCUACCAAGGCUUUGACGGGUAGCCGGCCUGAGAGGGCGACCGGCCACACUGGGACUGAGACACGGCCCAGACUCCUACGGGAGGCAGCAGUGGGGAAUAUUGCACAAUGGGCGGAAGCCUGAUGCAGCGACGCCGCGUGAGGGAUGACGGCCUUCGGGUUGUAAACCUCUUUCAGCAGGGACGAAGCGAAAGUGACGGUACCUGCAGAAGAAGCGCCGGCCAACUACGUGCCAGCAGCCGCGGUAAGACGUAGGGCGCGAGCGUUGUCCGGAUUUAUUGGGCGUAAAGAGCUCGUAGGCGGCUUGUUGCGUCGUCCGUGAAAACCUGGGGCUCAACUCCAGGCUUGCGGUCGAUACGGGCAGGCUAGAGUUCGGUAGGGGAGACUGGAAUUCCUGGUGUAGCGGUGAAAUGCGCAGAUAUCAGGAGGAACACCGGUGGCGAAGGCGGGUCUCUGGGCCGAUACUGAC
rnacentral:rRNA from 1 species